AAUAAUUGAAUGUUGCACAAUCAUUGGAUGAAUCAUGCCGGGCAGAGACGAUCUUGACCAAUGAUAUUGUUUGACUUCAUGGGGGGCUGUGCUAACGUCAAACUCAUCUCGACGCAGAGACAGUGUGGAUAAUAAUGUAACGCAGGAGUCAGGACUUUUCCACGAUGAUUCACAUUCAGCUUUCACUUAAGGCAAGAUGGAAGAAAGGAGGAUACCAAGAUAAGAAGAUCAAGAAGAUAAAGAAAGCUAAAUUUGACAAGGAUCAA